rnacentral:tRNA from 1 species
GGGGUUGUAGCUCAGUUGGCUAGAGCGCUUCGUUCGCAACGAAGAGGUCGGGAGUUCGACUCUCCUCAACUCCA